GAGAGACAAUAUCUUCCGCCCCCCUUUAAGCAAAGAGGGGGGUAGAGAGCAUACACCGGGUUUCUUCUGAAGGGGAGGCGGCUUAAAGAGGGUAAUUGGUAUUUUCCUCUUUGGUUCUGGUUCUAAACGCGGAAGAUCCUUGGGAGAAGCGGCCGGUUAAAUCCCCUUAGAGAACAGACUCCCCCCCCCCCCCCCAAAAAAAGAGAGAUUUUUUUUGAGGAUUUUUUUUUUUUUUUUUUCCGCGCCCUCACGCCCGUCGCUACUACCGAUGGAAUGGCUCAGUGAGGCCUUCGGACUGGCUCAGAGGGGUUGGCAACGACCGCUCAGAGCCGGAAAGUUGGUCAAACUUGGUCAUUUAGAGGAAGUAAAAGUCGUAACAAGGUUUCCGUAGGUGAACCUGCGGAAGGAUCAUUACCGAGUGCGGGCCCUCGCGGCCCAAUAUCCCACUGUCUCUAUACACCUGUUGCUUUGGCGGGCCCACCGGGGCCACCUGGUCGCCGGGGGACGCACGUCCCCGGGCCCGCGCCCGCCGAAGCGCGCUGUGAACCCUGAUGAAGAUGGGCUGUCUGAGUACUAUGAAAAUUGUCAAAACUUUCAACAAUGGAUCUCUUGGUUCCGGCAUCGAUGAAGAACGCAGCGAAAUGCGAUAAGUAAUGUGAAUUGCAGAAUUCCGUGAAUCAUCGAAUCUUUGAACGCACAUUGCGCCCCCUGGCAUUCCGGGGGGCAUGCCUGUCCGAGCGUCAUUUCUGCCCUCAAGCACGGCUUGUGUGUUGGGUGUGGUCCCCCCGGGGACCUGCCCGAAAGGCAGCGGCGACGUCCGUCUGGUCCUCGAGCGUAGGGGGCUCUGUCACUCGCUCGGGAAGGACCUGCGGGGGUUGGUCACCACCACAUUUACCACGGGUGACCUCGGAUCAGGUAGGAGUACGUGUAUU
rnacentral:rRNA from 1 species